rnacentral:tRNA from 6 species
GGGGCCUUAGCUCAGCUGGCAGAGCGCCUGCUUUGCAAGCAGGAUGUCAGGAGUUCGAAUCUCCUAGGCUCCA